CGAGAAGUGAACGAAGUAGAAGAUGAGCAUGAAGAAGGGGGAAAAAGCAAGGAAAUGAGAUUUCUUCGCUUUUUCCUCUUUUUCCUUCUCCAUCUCUACAACUGCCAACAACACGACGACGCAGCUGACAAACAAUCUUU
ensembl:ncRNA C04D8.2 ncRNA